rnacentral:rRNA from 1 species
GAUGAACGCUGGCGGCGUGCUUAACACAUGCAAGUCGAACGAAGCACUUUAUUUGAUUUCCUUCGGGACUGAUUAUUUUGUGACUGAGUGGCGGACGGGUGAGUAACGCGUGGGUAACCUGCCUUGUACAGGGGGAUAACAGUUGGAAACGGCUGCUAAUACCGCAUAAGCGCACAGCAUCGCAUGAUGCAGUGUGAAAAACUCCGGUGGUAUAAGAUGGACCCGCGUUGGAUUAGCUAGUUGGUGAGGUAACGGCCCACCAAGGCGACGAUCCAUAGCCGAGCUGAGAGGGUGACCGGCCACAUUGGGACUGAGACACGGCCCAAACUCCUACGGGAGGCAGCAGUGGGGAAUAUUGCACAAUGGGCGAAAGCCUGAUGCAGCGACGCCGCGUGAGCGAAGAAGUAUUUCGGUAUGUAAAGCUCUAUCAGCAGGGAAGAUAAUGACGGUACCUGACGAAGAAGCACCGGCUAAAUACGUG